AUUGAACGCUGGCGACAGGCUUAACACAUGCAAGUCGAACGAGUGGCGGACGGGUGUGUAAUGCUUGGGAAUCUAGCUUAUGGAGGGGGAUAACUACGGGAAACUGUAGCUAAUACCGCGUACCAUAGGAUGAGGCCAAGUGGGACUAGGUAGUUGGUGGUGGAAAGGCUCACCAAGCCGACGAUCGCUAGCUGGUCUGAGAGGAUGACCAGCCACACUGGGACUAAGACACGGGCCAGACUCCUACGGGAGGCAGCAGUGGGGACUCUUGCGCAAUGGGGGCAACCUGACGCAGCCAUGCCGCGUGAGUGAAGAAGGCCUUCGGGUUGUAAAGUUCUUUCGGUAGCGAUGCGUUAACUACAGAAGAAGCACCGGCUAACUCCGUGCCAGCCGCCGCGGUAAUAC
rnacentral:rRNA from 1 species